rnacentral:misc_RNA from 1 species
AUGUGAAGUGAAAUUCAUAUACUUAUAAAGUAUAUUUUCAAUUAUUGCGUUUGUUUUCUAGCAGAACACCAGAAGUUGUAGAAAGUUCCUUUUUUUUUUAAAGCAAGCAAAAAGCAGAAAGUUCAACUGAAAAGAGCCUUAGAAGAAAAAAAAAGUAGAGAUUUUUAAAGAUUGUAUGCAUGAUAAUGAAACAGAGAUUAGAUGAGGAACUUGUUAAUAUCCCACAUCGGCUUGGGAAAAGAUAAUGUGCCCCUUGUAAAGCCUUAGGCGCUCCUCUCCUUGAACUAGCUUUUGGGGGUGAAUUACGCUCCGUCCAUUUUCUUAUCAUGAUAUUAGAGUUUCCCCAACUAAUGUUAGGCUUCCAGUAAGUGUUUCACACUCUAGGUGUUCAGUCCUGGGCAUGAGGAAAAGGGGGUGUUAAUAUCUUACAUCGGUUUGUGAAGAGGUAAUUUGCCCCUUAUGAAGCCUUGGAUACUCUUCCCCUCUUGUAUUAGCUUUUGGGAGUAAGUUAGGCCUAGUUUAUUUUCUUAUCAAAACUCAAUGGAAGUAAUAAAGGGAAAAAAGAAUGGUUACACUUACACGUACAUGCACACGUGUGUAUAUUCUAACAGAUUCAGAUAUAUUUUGGCCUAAAAUACUUAUAUAUGGGAAGCUUAGGCAAUCCAUCAGCAACUGAUUUUCAUUUGCAGACUUGCUAUGUGAUGAUUGUUUUUUCAUGUGACAUGGUAUUAGCCACUAAUAAAAUGAUGGAAAUACUGUACCGCUACAUGUUUACCUUAUGAUGCUUGAAAUUUUCUACCAAUAUGUUUAACAUUUCAUGCUCUUAUUUUCCUUUCUGCAGGACGUGUACUACUGUUUCAUGGA